UAUAUGGGGUUGCUAAGGGGCGUGGCUUGUUGCUAAGGGGCGUGGCUUGUUGCUGAGGGGAUCCAUUGCCAUAUAUGGGGUUGCUAAGGGGCGUAGCUUGUUCUAAGGGGCGUGGCUUGUUGCUAGGGAAGCCAUUGCCAUAUAAGGGAGCCAUUGCCAUAUAUGGGGUUGCUAAGGGGCGUGGCUUGUUGCUAGAGGGAGCCAUUGCCUUAUAUGGCCACUGACUCUGAAAUAGGUAGAAAUAGACCCAAAAAUCCCCCAGAAAUGAGAGGUUUUGGGGAAAAAUGUUUAACAAUGACAGAUUUUGGGGACCACCUGCUUCUACCGCGCCCUCAUCCACGCCCCGCCGCAGCGCCCCCAGGACGAUUAUUCGGUGCUUUUCGAGGACACCUCCUACGCCGACGGUUACUCCCCGCCCCUGAACGUGGCCCAGCGCUACGUGGUGGCCUGCAAAGAGACCAAAAAAAAGUAAAAAUUUGGGGCAAAACACCCAAAAUUUGGGAAAAAAUCACCCAAAACUUGAAAGAAACCUGCCUGGAAUUGGGCAGGGAAAGGAAAAACGGGCAGAAAAUUGGAUUUGGGAAGGGGAAAAUGGAGGAAAAUUUGAUUUUUUUUUUGCAAAAAUUAAAGGUUUUUUGUGUAAAAAUUGGGAUUUUUUUAUGGGGGGAUUUUGGGGUUUUUUUAGGGAGGGAAAGAUGGGAAUUGUGUGGUGGGGAAAAGUGGUUUUAAAAGGAAAAAAUUAUGGGGAAAAUUGAUAUAUUUGAAUGGGAAAAUUGGGAUUUUUAAAGGGAAAAACUGGGAUUUUUUUAAAGUGGAAAAUUGGGAACAUUUUGGGGUAAAACUGGGAAAUUCAUUUGUAAAAACCAAUUAUUUUUAUGGGGAAAAAAAUGGUCUUUAUGAGAGUGAAUUAUGGAUUUAUUUGGGGAAUUAUUGGGAUUUAUUUGGGGUGGGAAAACUUGGAAUUUUUCUGGACAACAAUUGUGUAUUUUCAGCAUUAAAAGUGGCAUUUUUGUGGUUAAAAUUGACAAAAUUGCCUUAAAAUUUGUGGAAAAUAUCCUAAAAUUUUUUUAGGAGUGGCUAAAGGAUGGGAGGAUCCCAAAAAAGGAUUUUUGGGGAAAAAAACGGGGGGAAAAUGUGGAAAAAAAAGGAAAAAAUGAGAAAAAAGGGAUUUUGGGCUCUUAAAAUGGCAGCUAAAAGGGGGAGGGGCAAAAGGGAAAUGAUGUCAUAGGGGUGUGGCCAAAAGCCACACCCCUUAAUUAAUGAGAAAUCAUUUUAUAAUUAAAAAUUAUUUUAUUNNNNNNNNNNCCAUCUUGAAAUGUUCCCUUAUAAGGCAAACACAACACCAAGCCCCGCCCCUGGCAGCCAUCUUGAAACUCUUCCAUAUAAGGAAAAGAGCUCUAACCAACAAGCCCCGCCCCCCUAGGAUGAAGCCCCGCCCCUUUUUUUACCCGGGACAGGCGCCCCCUACUGGCAGCAGCUGCCGCGGCUCCGGGGCCAGGAAGAGCCGGGCCAGGCACGGGGGGUGGGCGGCCAUCUUGCACUGGGGGCGGGGACAGCGCAGAAGGGGCGUGGCCUGCACCUGAAGGGGGCGUGGAGAGAGCCAAACCCAUUCAUCCCUGCUCAAUCUGCAUAAAUUUGCAUAAAUU
rnacentral:lncRNA from 1 species